CAUAUUUUUAUAUUAUUUAUUAUUUACAUAUAUAUUAUCCAUCAAUGUAUUUAGGACAGGACUGGUGCAUUUCUGUAAAGUAUUUGCGAAGAUAAUUUUGAAGCCGGCCACGCCAUUUCGAAAAUAAUAAAUCUUAGGUUGCAGGGAUUCUUUAGUAACGAAAAUAUGUUUUCAUCCUUAAAAAUAAAAACUAAUAGUGAAAAACUAUUAUCAUAGCCUAAUAUUGCUUCUUUGAAUUUCGAAACCACCAUGCUCCCAAAGUUGUCAUCCCGCCGGACCUGCCAAAGUUGUACCACGAAUUCUCGAAUAAUACCAGUGGUGUGGGUUUCAAAUCAGUAGCAAUCAAUAUCAAAAUUGAAUUGUCUUUCAUAUUUUAUGUGUGUUUUGCAUUUACUAAUACUCAAAACUAGAAUUAAUCCAUGUUGAAUACAUCACCACCAUUGGUGUUCUUUGUCACCAUGUUCCACUAAAUUUAAUAUUGUUUAAAGACAAGACCGAGUCGGCAUCUAAAUAAACCACCAAAAUAUGCAAAAAUGUACAGAGUAUAACAUAUAAAAGUAUCAAAGCUCAUCUAAUUGGGGCUCAUUGUCAAUUUUCCUUCCAAAGUUGAAAUUUAAAAUUUUGGGUACCAAACAGUCUUGAACAAAAGCAUUCAUAGUUGGUAAACCUACCGCAGAUGGGCUCAUAAAAGGUGUUUAUCAUAAUGAAAAUUAAAUUUUCUUUCCAGAUAAGCAUGUUUUAUUGCAGUUUCGGUGUCAUAAGAUAUAUUUUUUGGUCUAGAAUGUGAGAGCUUCCUUGCUGCCAAAAGUCACACUGUAACAAUCAAUGGAAUAUUACUAAGAAAUGAAACCGAGUCGGCAUCUAUUUAUAGUACAAUAACAUACAAAAUUGAAUUUUCUAUCUGCUGGUGUAAGGUUUUAUACAAAAUAAAUUGGGGCUCAGUACGAAAUUCGAUGUUGAAAACUGCAGACCAUGAUUAUCACAUGCAGCUGCGCACAGUUUACUGUACUGCUAUCGCUAGCGAAGGCCAGCGCUCUCAUUUGAUUGGUUCAACGGCGUGUUCGUUGCUGACGGAGAACAUCCCUGAUUUUCGAAUUUGUUUGUUUUGAAUUUUGAUUAGGCCGAUUAUGCACAUUGGAAUUCAAUUUAAAAUUAUGCUGCUUGUUGAUGGUUGAAGUUGUGAAGCGCAUAACAUAAAAGAGUUGUGUAGAGAUUGUAUGGAGUGUUGGCGUUUUUGUAGUUUCCUUUUUCUGGUGCUCUUUUGAGAUCUUUGCAGGGGUUAGAAAUUUGCAAUCACAAUGCCACCAGGAAAGUGUUUUUUGUUUGUUUUCAUGCCACAAUUAUGGGCAACACGGCAGGGCAAAGUUUGCCUCAAGUCCUGGCUCGUUCGUAGCCUUGAUUUGCAUUCAAGAAAGCAAGUCUGUGCCCAAACGGAUCAGGAUGCCGCACAUUUUUUAUAUUCUUCAAAGCAAUCGAGGUUCAUUUGCCGAUGUUGCAUGGAGUAUGCGAACCAAAGCAGUGUUAUGCUGACGCGGAGACGAUGACGUUGUAUCUGGCGGUGGUUCUGGAGACAGCGCGGUUCGAUCCAGCUGUGGGCCGGACGUCACCCAGCUGAAAUGGCAGCGUGUUAUCACCAGCUACGAGGCGCGCGUACGGACAUUGUCCAGAAAAAAUCACGUCAUCUCCAGAGCGCCACGCGACCACGAUGGGACUGCCAACGAUGGCCUGCUCACCGACAGCUCCCCGCCAGCCGGCGGCGUUCCGCCAGCCAACGAGCUUCCGCCAGCCAACGGGCUUCCGCCAGCCAACGGCGUUCUGCCCGCCGAUGGUGGCCCGACGACCGACGGUCGCUCGCCGGCCGAAGGUGAUCCGGUAGCCGAACGAAGCUCGCCGGCCGACGCCGGCCCGCCCGCCGACGGCGCUCUGCCAGCCGACCGCGUCCCGCUCGCCGACGGCGUCGAUACGCCGGCGCGCGUAUCGACAUUGAUCAGAAACGAUCACAUUAUGUCCAGGUCAUUAGUCGCGGGCGCUCGAGCUGACGGUGUCGUCUGACGGCUCCGCGGUGACCAGCGCCGCCUCCGCCGAGAACAUCAGACUCCUGAAAUGCUAAUGGCCGUACACGAACAAGAGGCUCUAAACAUCCAGGUGCAGGAUAAGCGCCAUGCUCAGAGGCGUCAUCUGGAGAAGGCCGCACAGUGCACUUAAGGCUGAGCUCGGGUGUAGUGCGCGCAGACAGAUAUGAUCAACUGACGGGCCGGCCAUCAGAUUUCAGUACGGAACUCAAGAUGGUCGGAGCCGACGUGGCUCGGUUGAUGGUGUGCCAGGGUUGAUUGAGAGUGGAGGCGAGACACCCGGAUCUGUGAAGGAUACGCCGAUACGGAUCUCGACGUCGUCUCGCAAUUUGUGCUCUGUAAUAUGACGGCUAUGCCGUGGUAUCAUUCACUCUCGAUGCGCUAAUAAAUAAUGAAUAGGACAGAGA
rnacentral:misc_RNA from 1 species